rnacentral:tRNA from 1 species
GUCCAGGAGUGGGGCGGGAUGGUCUGGGCCUUCAUGGGUCCGCAGGACCAGGUGCCUGAGUUCGUCCCGCCGUCCUGGGCGCC